AGUCCUAUAGCUCAGUUGUUAGAGCGCCUACACUGAUAAUGUAGACGGUCGGCAGUUCAACUCUGCCUGGGGACUACGA
rnacentral:tRNA from 1 species